CUACGUGCCAGCAGCCGCGGUAAUACGUAGGUGGCAAGCGUUGUCCGGAAUUAUUGGGCGUAAAGCGCGCGCAGGCGGAUUGGUCAGUCUGUCUUAAAAGUUCGGGGCUUAACCCCGUGGUGGGAUGGAAACUGCCAAUCUAGAGUAUCGGAGAGGAAAGUGGAAUUCCUAGUGUAGCGGUGAAAUGCGUAGAUAUUAGGAAGAACACCAGUGGCGAAGGCGACUUUCUGGACGAAAACUGACGCUGAGGCGCGAAAGCCAGGGGAGCGAACGGGAUUAGAUACCCCGGUAGUCCUGGCCGUAAACGAUGGGUACUAGGUGUAGGAGGUAUCGACCCCUUCUGUGCCGGAGUUAACGCAAUAAGUACCCCGCCUGGGGAGUACGACCGCAAGGUUGAAACUCAAAGGAAUUGACGGGGGCCCGCACAAGCGGUGGAGUAUGUGGUUUAAUUCGACGCAACGCGAAGAACCUUACCAGGUCUU
rnacentral:rRNA from 1 species